AUUGAACGCUGGCGGCAUGCCUUACACAUGCAAGUCGAACGGUAACGAGCCUUCGGGUGCCGACGAGUGGCGAUCGGGUGAGUAAUACAUCGGAACGUGCCCGAUCGUUGUGGAUAACGAGGCGAAAGCUUUGCUAAUACCGCAUACGAUCUACGGAUGAAAGCAGGGGACCGCAAGGCCUUGCGCGGACGGAGCGGCCGAUGGCAGAUUAGGUAGUUGGUGGGAUAAAAGCUUACCAAGCCGACGAUCUGUAGCUGGUCUGAGAGGAUGAUCAGCCACACUGGGACUGAGACACGGCCCAGACUCCUACGGGAGGCAGCAGUGGGGAAUUUUGGACAAUGGGCGCAAGCCUGAUCCAGCCAUGCCGCGUGCAGGAUGAAGGCCUUCGGGUUGUAAACUGCUUUUGUAAGGGACGAAAAGCCUUCUUUUAAUACAGGAGGGUCAUGACGGUACCGGAAGAAUAAGCACCGGCUAACUACGUG
rnacentral:rRNA from 1 species